ACUCCCCUAGUAUAAAUCGUACACGCGGCCUCCACCCGCUUGAUCCCAGUAUAAGCCUGGGGGGGAGGA
rnacentral:tRNA from 1 species